AUCGCUUCUCGGCCUUUUGGCUAAGAUCAAGUGUAGUAACUAUGACUCUUCUGGGUCUGUAUCUGAAGGAAAUACCAUGAGCAUGGAAAAGAGAGACCCACACUCCCAUGUUUAUUGUGGUUCUAUUCACAAUAGUUAACGUAUGGAAU
rnacentral:sRNA from 1 species